GACGAACGCUGGCGGCGUGCUUAACACAUGCAAGUCGAACGAAGAGCGAUGGAAGCUUGCUUCUAUCAAUCUUAGUGGCGAACGGGUGAGUAACGCGUAAUCAACCCGCCCUUCAGAGGGGGACAACAGUUGGAAACGACUGCUAAUACCGCAUACGAUCUAAUCUCGGCAUCGAGGAUAGAUGAAAGGCGGCCUCUACAUGUAAGCUAUCACUGAAGGAGGGGAUUGCGUCUGAUUAGCUAGUUGGAGGGGUAACGGCCCACCAAGGCGAUGAUCAGUAGCCGGUCUGAGAGGAUGAACGGCCACAUUGGGACUGAGACACGGCCCAGACUCCUACGGGAGGCAGCAGUGGGGAAUCUUCCGCAAUGGACGAAAGUCUGACGGAGCAACGCCGCGUGAGCGAUGACGGCCUUCGGGUUGUAAAGCUCUGUUAAUCGGGACGAAAGGCCUUCUUGCGAAUAGUGAGAAGGAUUGACGGUACCGGAAUAGAAAGCCACGGCUAACUACGUG
rnacentral:rRNA from 1 species